rnacentral:rRNA from 1 species
UACAGUGGUCUCAACCGUUGUUCGGAUUCAUUGGGCGUAAAGGGUGCGUAGGCGGCGGGGCAAGUCAGGUGUGAAAUCUCGGGGCUCAACCCCGAAACUGCACUUGAUACUGUCUUGCUCGAGUACUGGAGAGGAGACUGGAAUUUACGGUGUAGCAGUGAAAUGCGUAGAUAUCGUAAGGAAGACCAGUGGCGAAGGCGAGUCUCUGGACAGUUACUGACGCUGAGGCACGAAGGCCAGGGGAGCAAACGGG